ensembl:lncRNA
GGGUAGUGUUCACGCCAAACCUGACACACUCCAACGUGUACUAUCAACGGCAGCUGGCCAACUACAACCUCUGUAUCCAGGAGAUGGGCACUGACAAACCUCCUACAAUGUGCCUCUGGCAUGAGGGCAUCGCUCACAGAGGUUCCAUCGAGGUGGCAAGCUGUCUUUUGAAGUGGGCAGAAACAUCUUUCGCUCCCCUAGUCCAGGCAAAGGAACGGAAGCUCAUCAUCUAUAGUGACCGAUGCUGUGGGCAGAACAACAACUGGCGAGUCCUAAACCUCAUGGCCCUACUCGUAUCUAGAGGGUACUUCAGUCAGAUAGAGCAGAAGUUCAUGGUGUCUGGUCACUCCUUCCUUCCCUGUAACCGUUCAUUUGCCACGCUGGACAAGAGGCAUAAGGUGUCCACACUCCACACCCCCAGCGAUGUCGCCGAGAUGAUCCGUGGAACCAGGCAGCUGCAUCCAUUUAAAGUAAUUGAGAUUAAAUGUACGGACUUCAGGCAGCUCCCUGAUGCAACAUUAAAACAUCCACCUGGCUUCUUAAUCACAUCCAUGAUGUGGUUGAAAGUGACAGCUACUGAUCCAUGGUGUGUCCACACAAAAGGGAGCCACAGCCUCUACGAGGGAUGGAAGCAUUGGCUGAUCACCAAACAGAGGAAGAAUCAACCACCUCCAGCUCCCUUGUUCUCCACCACGUAUGCUCGUGCUUACGAGGACCCUCUGCCCAUCAAGAAGGAGAAGCACUGUGACCUUAUGAAAAUGCUAGCCUACAUGCCAGCGGAGGCCCAAGCAUUUUAUGGGACAUUAGAAUGUGAAGAGUAGCCUGGUAUGUGUAGGUCAUGUGCAGGGUAAGGUGGGAUAUAUUGUGUAUAUUGUGUGAAAUUAAUCAUAAAAGUAGUUGUAGCUUAUCUUGUAUGCCUUAUCUUAUGUUGUAUAAUAGGAAUAUAUAGGUAUUUAUUUUAUUUUAUUUAGAACCAAAAAAAGGAAGACGUAUAUGGUAAACUAGCAUAUGGAACCAGCAUGGAAUGAAGAUGAUGUAUGUCUGUAUUGUAAAUAUGUAUAGUUUACCGUUAUUACUGUUCAUUGUUUGUAUGUAUUGUUUAUUGUAUGUACGGUUUGUGUGUACUGACGUUUAUUUUCUGUACUAUAAGUAGGCCUAUGUAUUGUUCAUUGUUCGUACCGUAUUGUCCGCGUUUUUGUUCUGUGAUUUACGUUGGCAAAAAAUAAAAGAAAUUGAAAGAAAGAAAUGCUUAAUAUU